GUAGUCUUUUCUGCCCCCCAGGCCAUGGGGCCAGGAUUUGGUAUCUGAUACUAAAGGAAAACCCUUGAUUGCAUCGUUGCCCUGGGACUAUUCCUGGGGUAGCUUUCAUUCAAUGGUACAGAG
rnacentral:snoRNA from 1 species